GGUCAAGUCGGUUCGAGUUGGUGAUAUAAUUAGAGAGCAUUGGGCUAGUAUCCCAAAGGUCGCGGGUUCGAUUCCCACCGUGGUCA